rnacentral:sRNA from 1 species
UUGCGCCUGCGGCGGGUCAGGCACGGCAGACACGAAGCUUCGCAGGCAGCUUGUCCGUGUACGACCUCGUACAUUCCGGAACUUCCGGUAUUUAAUUCUUUC